rnacentral:rRNA from 1 species
GGCUCAGGAUGAACGCUAGCUACAGGCUUAACACAUGCAAGUCGAGGGGCAGCGGGAUUGAAGCUUGCUUCAAUUGCCGGCGACCGGCGCACGGGUGAGUAACGCGUAUCCAACCUUCCGUACACUCAGGGAUAGCCUUUCGAAAGAAAGAUUAAUACCUGAUGGUAUGAUGAGAUUGCAUGAUAGCAUCAUUAAAGAAUUCGGUUAUCGAUGGGGAUGCGUUCCAUUAGUUUGUUGGCGGGGUAACGGCCCACCAAGACUACGAUGGAUAGGGGUUCUGAGAGGAAGGUCCCCCACAUUGGAACUGAGACACGGUCCAAACUCCUACGGGAGGCAGCAGUGAGGAAUAUUGGUCAAUGGGCGCGAGCCUGAACCAGCCAAGUAGCGUGAAGGAUGAAGGCUCUAUGGGUCGUAAACUUCUUUUAUAUGGGAAUAAAGUUUUCCACGUGUGGAAUUUUGUAUGUACCAUAUGAAUAAGGAUCGGCUAACUCCGUG